rnacentral:rRNA from 1 species
UACGUAGGGGGCAAGCGUUGUCCGGAUUUAUUGGGCGUAAAGAGCGUGUAGGCGGCCUGACAGGUCUGCUGUGAAAACUCGAGGCUCAACCUCGAGAUGUCGGCGGAAACCGUCUGGCUAGAGUCCGGAAGAGGAGAGUGGAACUGCGAGUGUAGAGGUGAAAUUCGUAGAUAUUCGCAAGAACACCAGUGGCGAAGGCGAAUCUCUGGACAGUUACUGACACUGAGGCACGAAGGCCAGGGGAGCAAACGGG